rnacentral:rRNA from 1 species
UACGUAGGGUGCAAGCGUUAAUCGGAAUUACUGGGCGUAAAGCGUGCGCAGGCGGUGAUGUAAGACAGAUGUGAAAUCCCCGGGCUCAACUUGGGAACUGCAUUUGUGACUGCAUCGCUGGAGUGCGGCAGAGGGGGAUGGAAUUCCGCGUGUAGCAGUGAAAUGCGUAGAUACGCGGAGGAACACCGAUGGCGAAGGCAAUCCCCUGGGCCUGCACUGUCGCUCAUGCACGAAAGCGUGGGGAGCAAACAGG